rnacentral:rRNA from 1 species
CCUACGGGAGACAGCAGUGAGGAAUAUUGGUCAAUGGCCGCAGGGCUGAACCAGCCAAGUCGCGUGAGGGAUGACGGUCCUAUGGAUUGUAAACCUCUUUUGUCAGGGAGCAAAGGGCGCCACGUGUGGCGCUUUGCGAGUACUUGAAGAAAAAGCAUCGGCUAACUCCGUGCCAGCAGCCGCGGUAAUACGGAGGAUGCGAGCGUUAUCCGGAUUUAUUGGGUUUAAAGGGUGCGCAGGCGGAAUGUCAAGUCAGCGGUAAAAUUUCGGGGCUCAACCCCGUCGUGCCGUUGAAACUGGCGUUCUUGAGUGAGCGAGAGGUAUGCGGAAUGCGUGGUGUAGCGGUGAAAUGCAUAGAUAUCACGCAGAACUCCGAUUGCGAAGGCAGCAUACCGGCGCUCAACUGACGCUCAUGCACGAAAGCGUGGGUAUCGAACAGGAUUAGAUACCCGGGUAGUC